rnacentral:rRNA from 1 species
AUGAUUGAUUCAAAUAUUCCUACCACAUCAAAGCCACAUAAAACACAGUCUACCGAAUGCGACGAGAGCAGGCCGUACCGAUACAAGUGGGCGCAUGUGAGGAGCUUUGGCGACCACCCCCUGCUUAUGAGCUCCGCGUGCUCUAUGGCGGUUCAUAUGCCAGCUUCUAGUGGGCAUCGCGCUGGGGUGGACAUGAACUACAUCUACUACCCCGAGCAAUAUUCGUCGUCCUUCGAAGGUGAUCCAUGUACUCCUGGGCAACAAGUACAUGCAUCACAUGGGAUGGAUUAUGUCAUGGGUGUACCGUUACUGUGA